UCUUCAAAUUUAGAAUCCGGCUAUAUAUGGUGCUUUUAAAAACACCAAGUAUUUGGUGCUUUUAAGUUUUCCGCCGUUAAAUUUAUCUUUUUAACCAUUUUCAUUCUUUAGAUCAUAUUAAUUCAACCAACCAUUCACUCAAUUCUGGGAGACCACUAUCAUUCUAAUCAUACAUUUCUUAAUUUAAGGCACGGAAAACCUACAAUCAUCAAUGAUUUGAUACUUUUAAAAGUAUAGAAACUCAAUUCUCAAAUUUAUAUUAUUAUAUAGGCUAAGGCUAUUAUAUUCUUAUGAGUAUAGAUCACUUUAUACUCAUAAGAUUCCGGCCGUUGGAUAAAGAAUUGUGCAGUUAGGUUGAUAGUGGUCCUUAGUUAGAAUGAUAAUGAUCCCCUUAGAGUUGAGUGGGUAGUUGUUUGAAUAGUAUAAUCUAAUAAGUGAAAAUGGUCAAAAAGAUAGAUCUAAUGCUCGAAAACUUAUGAGAAUAAAGGAGUCUAUACUCAUAAGAAUAUAGCAACUGAAUUACCGAUUGUCCCUAGCGCAAAUGGCAAAAGGUUUAAUGGUUGGUAGGGCUGGCAAAUGAGCGAGCCGGCUCGCGUUCGACUCGUGUUCGACUCGAUAUUUGGCUCACUCGAGCUCGACUCGAAAUUAAAUGAGCCGAGCUUGAACAAAAAAAAAAAGGCUCGAAAUUCAUUUCAAGCUGAGCUUGAGCAUUACUCGGCUCGUUCGAAUUAGGCUCGAAAAGCUCGAAAAGCUCGACUAUAUAUAUAUAUAUAUAUAUAUAUAGAGAGAGAGAGAGAGAGAGAGAGAGAAUUAGACUGCAAUACUAUUAAUAGUAAAAUUCUCUUUUUGCUAUCAAGUUUUUAACCCUUGGAUGAAAAAUUGUAGGGUUAGGAUGAUAUUAGUCAGUUGGAGUUGAGUGGUCCCCCUAGGGUUGAGUGGUCCCCACUGGGUUAUAGUAUUUAAUCCAAUGGUUAGAAAUGAUGAAAAGAGUUGAUUCAAAGACUAAAAAACUGGUAGCAACAAUAGGAUUUUGCUACUAAUAGUAGCCCAAUCCAACUCUCUCUCUCUCUCUCUCUCUCUCUCUCUCUCUCUCUCUCUAUAUAUAUAUAUAUAUAUAUAUAUAUAUAUAUAUAUAGAGCAAGGCUGUUGUGCUCUCAGGAGCACGGAGGCCUCCGUGCUCCUGAGCCGUUUUCGAUGAUGGAAUUUUCAAAUCGACGAUCGGCUCCGUUAGACUUGAUCUAGCGUAUUUGAAGUUUCUAGAAAAUAAUUUUUGCGAUUUUUUGAUAUCAUUUACCAAGUGAUCGAAACGAUUCAAAAUCCAUAAUUUUUAAUGGUUGAUAUCUGCCGUUUUCAAGUUUAACGGUGUAAAAGUAUUCAAAUCAAAUGAAAUUUUGAUACAAAAUUCUUUAUACUAUCUACAACAAGAUCAAUAUUUCUGAUCGAAAAUUUUAGUGCUAUAUCACCAUUUUUUAUAGGAUUUUUAUUUUCAGCCGUUAAAAAUUAUUGAUUUUGAAUCAUUUCAAUUGCUAGGUAAAUGAUAUCGAAAAAUCGCAAAAAAUUAUUUUCUAGAAACUUUAAAUACGUUAGAUAAAGUUUAACGGAGCCGAUCGUCGAUUCGGAAACUCCAUCAUCGAAAACGGCUCAGGAGCAUAGAGGCCUCCGUGCUCCUGAGAGCACAGCAGCCCUGCUCUCUCUCUCUCUCUAUAUAUAUAUAUAGUAGAACUACUAUGCUAUCGGAAGUAUAGAAGAUCUGGUGCUUUCGAUUUUUUGAUUCUUAGAUCAACCUCUUUAAUUAUUUCUUAUCUUUGGAUUAAUACUAUUAUUGCCUUGUAGGGACCACUCAAUCCUAGGGGUAUUAUUUAAUCCUAGGAGGGACCGC
rnacentral:lncRNA from 1 species